rnacentral:rRNA from 1 species
UACGGGGGGGGUAAGCGUUGUUCGGAAUUACUGGGCGUAAAGCGUGCGCAGGCGGUGAUGUAAGACAGUUGUGAAAUCCCCGGGCUCAACUUGGGAACUGCAUUUGUGACUGCAUCGCUGGAGUGCGGCAGAGGGGGAUGGAAUUCCGCGUGUAGCAGUGAAAUGCGUAGAUAUGCGGAGGAACACCGAUGGCGAAGGCAAUCCCCUGGGCCUGCACUGACGCUCGAUGCACGAAAGCGUGGGGAGCAAACAGG